CGUAAGGACAUGUGGACAGUAUGGGAGUGAGAAUGUUGGCAUGAGUAGCGAGAUGUGGGUGAGAAUCCCACAGGCCGUAAACCCAAGGUUUCCAGGGGAAGGUUCGUCCGCCCUGGGUUAGUCGGGACCUAAGCUGAGGCCGAAAGGCGUAGGUGAUGGACAACAGGUUGAUAUUCCUGUACUACCGAUAACCGUUUGAGAGAAGGGAUGACACAGUAGGAUAAGCUAAGCACACUGUUGGUUAUGUGUGCCCAAGCAUUGAGGCAGUCAAAGUAGGCAAAUCCGCUUUGAUAAUGCUGGGAUGUGAUGGGGAGCGAAAUUUAGUAGCGAAGUAGCUGAUUUCACACUGUCAAGAAAAGUCUCUAUCGAGGUUAAAGGUACCCGUACCGCAAACCGACACAGGUGGGUGAGGAGAGUAUCCUAAGGCCAGCGAGAGAACUGUUGUUAAGGAACUCGGCAAAAUGACCCCGUAACUUAGGGAUAAGGGGUGCCACCAUCAGGUGGCCGCAGAGAAUAGGCCCAAGCGACUGUUUACCAAAAACAUAGGUUUCUGCUAAGUCGCAAGACGAUGUAUAGGAGCUGACGCCUGCCCGGUGCUGGAAGGUUAAGGGGAUCUGUUAGAGCAAUCGAAGCAGUGAACUUAAGCCCCAGUAAACGGCGGCCGUAACUAUAACGGUCCUAAGGUAGCGAAAUUCCUUGUCGGGUAAGUUCCGACCCGCACGAAAGGCGUAACGAUUUGGGCACUGUCUCAACAACAGACUCGGUGAAAUUGUAAUUCCGGUGAAGAUGCCGGAUACCUGCGACAGGACGGAAAGACCCCAUGGAGCUUUACUGUAGCUUGACAUUGGGUCUUGGUACUACAUGUACAGGAUAGGUGGGAGGCUUUGAAACCAGGACGCCAGUUUUGGCGGAGCCAUCCUUGGGAUACCACCCUUGUAGUACUGGGACUCUAACCAUAGGCCAUGAAUCUGGUCUUGGGACACUGUCAGGUGGGCAGUUUGACUGGGGCGGUCGCCUCCCAAAAGGUAACGGAGGCGCUCAAAGGUUCUCUCAGUACGGUCGGAAAUCGUACGUAGAGUGUAAAGGCAAAAGAGAGCUUGAUUGCAAGACAUACAGGUCGAGCAAGGAUGAAAAUCGGACUUAGUGAUCCGGUGGUUCUGCGUGGAAGGGCCAUCGCUCAACGGAUAAAAGCUACCCUGGGGAUAACAGGCUUAUCUCCCCCAAGAGUCCACAUCGACGGGGAGGUUUGGCACCUCGAUGUCGGCUCAUCACAUCCUGGGGCUGUAGUAGGUCCCAAGGGUUGGGCUGUUCGCCCAUUAAAGUGGUACGCGAGCUGGGUUCAGAACGUCGUGAGACAGUUCGGUCCCUAUCCGUCGCAGGCGUAGGAAAUUUGAGAAGACCUGUCCUUAGUACGAGAGGACCGGGAUGGACGUACCUCUGGUGUACCAGUUGUCCUGCCAAGGGCAUGGCUGGGUAGCUAUGUACGGAAUGGAUAAGCGCUGAAAGCAUCUAAGCGCGAAGCCAACUUCAAGAUAAGAUUUCCCACCGCAAGGGUAAGACCCCAGAAAGACUAUCUGGUUGAUAGGUCGAAGGUGUAAGUGCAGCAAUGUAUUUAGCUUAUCGAUACUAAUAGGUCGAGGACUUGACCAA
rnacentral:rRNA from 1 species